rnacentral:misc_RNA from 1 species
UUUCCACUCUAUGCAAAAAGUGAGUACUUCUGCAAACUUGCACACAGUGCUGAUGUGAAGAAGGUUGAGCUUGUGGGCUUUCCUGGAGGGCCCGAUAUUUUUAGCACGGUAGCCGACUUCUGUUACAACAUGAAAGUGGAACUCACCAAAAACAACAUCGUGCAGGUUCGUUGCGCGGCAGAGUUCUUGCAGAUGAAAGGUGAAGGCAAUUUGAUUGACAUGGCAGAUAAGUUCUUCAACGACACUAUUACGUCAACAAAAAUGAGCAGGUCGACGUCAUGUAUUGCGUCAUUGCUUCUGUUUGCGUCUACUGUUGGAGAAUUGGCCAAUGUCUCCGGAAUCGUCGACGUCUGCUGUGAGGCUCUCAUAGAGUGCUGGCUGAAACCACCGACAAAAUUCAGUUCACCGACGAACAUUUCAAAGCAAUCGCUAGAUCGGCGAGAGGACAGGACAAUCAAUGCUUUACUCAGUCUUCCUUUGGACUGGUAUUUGAAGCUUGUCAUUUCAGCACGUGACCGGGGCGUCCAGUCGUCAUUACUUGCGGAGCUCUCCACGUCGUACAUCUCAGUUUUGAUUGAUCGCGAUGAAUCUGAAGAGAAUUCAUCGCAAAGCACCGAAUCGGGUGAGAUCACCUCCAAAUCCCCUCGUCCGAAAUCGCCAAAGAAAACAGACAUUGCUAAAGUUCUUGACAAUAUUAUAACGGUCUUGCCAGAAGAAUCUCUGUUCAGUGACGUCAUCACAAUUGAGUGGUUAACAAAAGUAAUUCGAGUUGCAACGUCACAUAAUUGCAAAUGUAGAAAACUUCUUGUCAAGGCUGCAGGGGAGUUGCUCUGCAAAAUUUCUGCAGAAGAACUAUGUACCAUUUCACCAUCUCUAUUACGAGACAUUGUGCAAGAAUCGUGCGCUUCAGGAAAUGGACAAAUCGAAAAAGCAUGCCGUAUUGUCGAUACGUACAUGUCCGAGAUGGUUCGAAAGGGGGUUCUAACAGCUGAUACAUUCAAACUACUGGCAACGGUAGUGCCAAAGGAUGCUCGAAGCAACCAUGAUCAGAUGUACAACAUACUGGAAUAUGUUUUAACAGCAGAACGGGAACAUUUAAGCACGGAACAACGCCAUGAACUUAUAGAAACCGUGAAUUUCACGCUUUUGAACGAAGAGACACUGCAAGGUGCUUUGGCAGCUUCCGUGGUCCCUGCAAACUAUGUCGCAAAAGGAGCCAUUGCGUUGUGUUCUCGUCUUCGGAGUGACCUGGAGACGGCGCGUGCAACCUUGCAACGCCAAGAUGACGAAAUCAAGCGUCUGAAAACUGCCGUCAAGCGCGGUAAAAGUCUGGGAACGCCCAUUAUGACCAGUUCAACGUCUAGUCUACGGGAUACGUCGUUCGGAAGCCUUAACGGCGCACGUGACCCGGAACUUGAUCAGUUACUGGAACUACCAACCAAAGAUCAAAGUACUGAUGCGAACGCCCCAUACACCACGAGCGAGGUACUGUCAGCGGUCCGGAACAAGUUAGCCCAUACCGCCUCCAGUUCCUCUCCUUACAACACCUUCCGGCCCCUGUCUCAGGAGCACGACAUCAGCUAUGAGGAGGAGUUGGAGUAUAAACAUGACCGGGCCUUCAGACCGCUGGAUAAUGCACGGACAAAGGUCAAACCAAUGUAUGGGCCGACUUAUAGGACUUACUCGGCCUACAGCCAUCGUUAUUAAUAAGGAGACGCGGAUCCAGUGUUUUUAUAGAAUGAGUGUAGUGAAUUGUAGUCAGUUACAUACAAGAGCAGUCUGAACUAUAGCAAAAUUCAACUUCAUAGGAAUUUAAAAAAAAAAUCAAACUUUAAAUGACAAAGAAAAAGGGAAUACAGAUUGAAUCGCCUGCAAGAUGAACUGAUUUUAAGUUUAAGUUACCAUAUUAUGGGACAAGAUACAUGCAUUUUCAUUUCAUAAAUGUCUGAAUUGGACAAGAAAUGACCAUCUCAUGCAAAGCCAAAGGACGCGAAUCAAAUGAUUCAAAGAAUAACAGAAUGUGGUACAGAAUCAUAUUAUUGAAUAAAUUUAUAUACUUUUUUUUAUACAGCG